GGAGGGGGCAAGCGUUGUUCGGAUUUACUGGGCGUAAAGGGCGCGUAGGCGGUAUGCCAUGUCAGGGGUGAAAGGCCUGGGCUCAACCCAGGAAUUGCCUUUGAAACUGGCAAACUAGAGUCCGAUAGAGGAUGGCGGAAUUCCCAGUGUAGAGGUGAAAUUCGUAGAUAUUGGGAAGAACACCAGUGGCGAAGGCGGCCAUCUGGAUCGGCACUGACGCUGAGGCGCGAAAGCGUGGGGAGCAAACAGGGAUUAGAUACCCUGGUAGUCCACGCCGUAAACGAUGUGUGCUAGACGUUGGGGGGUCUUAGACUCUGAGUGUCGUAGCUAACGCGUUAAGCACACCGCCUGGGGAGUACGGCCGCAAGGUUA
rnacentral:rRNA from 1 species